UAAAGCUUCGUAAACUAAAUAUUUAGUUUCAAUCUAAAUAUUUGUUUAGCAAGUUAAAUACAUAGAUACAUUUGGAGGUAAAUAUUUAGAUAGCAGCUAAAUAUUUAGUUGGUAAUCUAAAUAUCUAGUUUGGAGAUACAUUUCAGGAAUGAAGUUGAUUAUUUAGUUAGCAAAGUAAAUAUUUAACUUGCAGCUAAAUAUUUAGUUUACAAGUAUUUAUCAUAAUAAAUUUAGCUUACUAUCGAAAUAUUUAGUUAUCAUUCUAAAUCUCUAGUUUCCAAGUCAUAUGUUUAGAUACCAAGCUAAAUGUUUAGUUGAUAAACUAAGCAUUAAAUAUUUAGCUUGCUAUCAAAAUAUUGAGUUACUAAGCUAAAUAUAUAGUUAGCAAGCUACACAUUUAGCUUGCUAACUAUAUAUUUAGCUUUCAAACUAACUAUGUAACUUGGAACUAAAUAUUUAGUUUACAAUUUUUUAGUUUUCUAACUAAAUUCUUAGCUGGAAGCUAAAUAUUUCAUUAGCUAAAUAUUUAGCUGCCUGCUUUAGCUUCCCCAUACGUUGUGGUUUCCAGCCCAAACCGGAACGUUUUCUCUGGUUGCUGCAACUUGGAUGUGAACAACAAUCCUGCAGAGAGUGAAGAUCUCUCUAAUGAGGCUGAAUCAAACUCCUGGGUCCCUGAGCGCUGGCUAGCAGCAUGUUUACUGCAGUAUUUUGGCUGACGUAGCCUUGGAGACUCGCAGAUAAUCAUUUCCAUUCUGCGACUCAUUUCUGAGCUGAGCUACCAGAGAACGGCCCGUCUCCACGUCCGCCAGCAGCCUCUGGUGAAACUCAACCAAACCCUCAACGUCAGGCAGCUCCACAAACUGCCGCCAUGUUUUCAGGAGAUUUUAAGGCAACGCGUUGCUGCCGACGUUCAGCUGAAUCAGCAGAUUACUGGAGAAUGUUCUGCUGUAACAGUUUGAGUUGAGGAAGAAAAGCCCACGGUAAUUUGAUCUCACUCUGAACUCAGAGGAAGAAAGAAAUGUUUGAAACGGUGGGAGGAGAGAAGUGCCGGUCCAACGGCGGCGGCGGCCAUGUUGUUUCUGCUGCUCUUCUUCGUGCCUCUGGUCGGUCCGUUUUGUGGGCGGAGCCACAAACAGCAGGGUUCAGCACAUCGUCCCGGGUCGGAUGAACAACCAUCACCUGGUUGUGUUUUCAGCGCACCAGCAGCUGUUUCCUCUCACACCGGUCCGCCUGGGUGUUUGUGGUGCAACAAACGACUUUGAACAUUUUGCUCCAACCAUUUGUACCAAAGCGACCCGUCCAGUAGCGCUCAGUGGAAACGAGGCCUGAUGUUUACGCCACAUUGGCUUUUCUGACCUAAGUUGUUGAAAAGCAUAAAAUAGCUCAUUGUAAUUGGUUUGGUUUACAACACAGCCUCUUUAAUGCACAUUUAUGGAAAUAUAUUAAAGGGAUUCU